UCGAAGCGGCAGUUGAACGCGGGAACGAAACUUCUUUUUUCAGUUUAACCAACAUCAGCCAGCCCCAUCAUGGACCUGACGAACUUGCGGUGUCAAGUGUAUGGAAUAGUCUUCAGCAUUGCCAUUUUCUUGAUCGUGUUACUUUUAUGUGAGCGCUUGAUUGUGCGCUACAUCCCAAAGGCAAUUGUUAAAAUCUUGGGACGCGAAGAGUUCGAAAAAGGCCGAACUUCUAAAAAAACUGUGACUUAGGCGGAGUAAUUUUUUAGAAUAGAACAAAGGCAGAGGUGAGAAUCAUCCCGAGCACGUUUGAAUUCGUAGCUGCGCUGAGAACAAUAAUUUUGUUGAUCUGAGUUUUUUGUUGGUCAAACUACUGGUCUCACAGGGAAUGUCAGAAUUUUUUGGUUCUCCACUGUCUCUGCGCACUCGGCAAUGUGAAAUCGGAUGAAAAAACAUUUUUUGUUAAUUGCACCAAUGAUGCUUACAAAUUAAAAGUUCACAUUCUUUUUUUCAUGAAAAUAAUAUUGUUUUUUUCUCAAACUACUAAAAAUAUUAUUAAAAUUACGGGUUAGCAACUACCGCUUUGAGUUUCCAAAUGUAUUGUGUACACAUUUGAAAAAAUCUCUGAAAAUGAAAUUUCGAGUAACUGUUCGUGGACGAGACUGCAUAUAAAUUGAAAUUGAAUGAAAAUUUUGAUUUUUGAUUAAUUCGAAUGAAAAUAGAAUAUUAAUUUUGACAAAAAUUUAUUAAAUUUGAUUCAGUACGAUUGAAAAUUUCCAAAAUAAUUUUCAACUCGCCGAGACCAUCUUGGGCUGUUUGAAAAUUUGACAGGCUCCCACUACAUUUGAGUUGUCAUUAGGAAACGUCAGGGUCAAAAAAUCUUUCAACACUUUUCUGAGUCAUCCGAUCAAGCUCGUCUAAUUAGCGAUUCGAGGUCAGGUUCCGGCGGAUUUUUCUUGGAAUUGACGUAUCUCCUCUUAGAAUUAUAAUUCAGUGAAAAAAUAAAACGAAAAAAAUCGAAUAGGAGGAACAUUCGAGGAGAAGGAAAGUUCCAGGGGACUGUUGAAAAUUUCAGGCUCUGAGAAACUUGUAAACAGUGUUAUUUGAAGCUUCUCUGAAACGUCCCUUCAUUUCCACCGCUGUAUAGUCGACGAAAGCCUGUUGAAGUCGUGCAGACAGCCAAGAUGAUGGAGCGAAUUACAGGAGUGCGCAUGCCAAAUUAUUCAGGAAAUCGAAUUAAUACAAUGAGGACGCAGGAGGAAACAAGUUCAAUACCGAAUAUGGAUUUGAAACUAUUUUAUGGAAGCACCGUCAUUGUCUUGCUAUUGCUAAUAAUCCUCGUCUUCUCCAUGCGACCAAAAUUUUUUGGUUUCUCCUCGCACGAAGAGAAAUUUUCAUCGCUAUUCUUAUAUGACACUGACUCUCCGUCCUGUAAAGCCACCACUAUCGUAAUAACUAAAAAUGAUGACGAAUUUUUCGACAAUUACUACAAUAAAUACUGUCACCCGUGGCUAUAACGUAAAUUAUUUAAUAUAGACAAGAAAAAAUAGUACAUUACAAUACGUGUGACUUAGAGUAUGGAUCAGUCGACUAACCUCACUUGGAAUUUUCGAAAUCGAAAUUCUUUGACACAGUUUGACUGAUUAAAAAAAAGGCUCUGUCAGCUUACGCAGAACGAUGGCAAAAAUCGACUGACAGAGCCUUUUUUUAAUCGGUCAAACUGUGCCAAAGAAUUUCGAUUUCGAAAUUUGCAGCUAUCUCUCUCGCACUCACGGUGGCGAGAUAGCGACUGCUCCAUCACCUUAAUUUAAGAGUAUCGUAUACUAUUUUAUAGCCCGUAUGACAUAAGACGCAAAAGCGUAACUAAAAUACGGGUUUAGGUCAUGCGGCGUUAUAAAAACAAUUUUUAAUUAUUGUAAUAAAAUUCAUUAAAAAGUAUACUGCAAAUCCUUCGAGGCUGAAAUAAAAUGACCUCUUCGAAUCCAAAAA
rnacentral:lncRNA from 1 species